rnacentral:rRNA from 1 species
UACGUAGGGUGCAAGCGUUGUCCGGAAUUAUUGGGCGUAAAGAGCUCGUAGGCGGUUCGUCGCGUCGGCUGUGAAAUCCCGGAGCUCAACUCCGGGUCUGCAGUCGAUACGGGCGGACUAGAGUUCGGCAGGGGAGACUGGAAUUCCUGGUGUAGCAGUGAAAUGCGCAGAUAUCAGGAGGAACACCGGUGGCGAAGGCGGGUCGCUGGGCCGAUACUGACGCUGAGGAGCGAAAGCGUGGGGAGCGAACAGG